AAACGACCUAGAGCACGAUCUGCUGGAUGUGGAAGGAAUUGGUUGCCUCAUGUGCCACCAGGCGAAGAGCAGAGGCUAUUAAAGGGAAACUAAUCUUUAUCAGACCCACUUGUUGGGAUCAUGACUUGGAUGUGGUCAUGAAGCAAAAAGAAGAUUGAGAUGAGUUUUCCAUGGGAGUCCGAUGUAUGAGAUGCAGCAUGAAAGAAGACCUCUGGCCCACCGAGCUGUACCAUCCAGAAACCCAUCGAUUUAGCCCACAGUCUAAAGACAGGGCAAUUUACAAUGACCAAUUAACUUACUAACGUGUUAACUCUCUGGAUUGUGGAAGAAACCAGAACACUCGGAGGAACUCCACGACCACAUGGGAAGAACGUACAAACUUUCUUAUAGGGAGGAAGCCAGAAUUGAACUCUGAACUGAGAUGCCACAAGCCGAGGUAGCAUCAUGCUGACUGCUAUGCUACCGUGUCAUCCAAUCAAACUGAUGGCUUCGAGCAUGUCUCACAGUGAUGAUUGGAGAUUCUUGAAGGUAAAAUAAAGCUUACACAACACAUCGUUAAUGUUUCUUUACUCAGCCCAGAACCACCAAACGCAUACAAAACUUUGUAUUUUGUAAAAUCUCUUUCGUGCACUCAUUUACAUAUUAUUAUGAAAGCAAAAUAUGAGAAAUUACAAACAUGCAAAACCUCAUGAGGUUUUGUGUUGUGCCUUUUAAAUGAUCAGUUUUCUGCAAGCUGUGGGAGAGGAAUGUCUUGUACAAUGUCACCGAAGACAAUUUGUUGCUCCAGUUUCAAUUCAGCUGCCUUCAGAGACAUGGAAUUCAGGCACUUCUGAUGCAUUUUGAUCUCAGUUCAAUUAUUUAUCCCUGCCAUCGUUAUGAAUGUAUA